rnacentral:rRNA from 1 species
UGGGGAAUUUUGGACAAUGGGCGAAAGCCUGAUCCAGCAAUGCCGCGUGUGUGAAGAAGGCCUUCGGGUUGUAAAGCACUUUUGUCCGGAAAGAAAUCCUUGGCUCUAAUACAGUCGGGGGAUGACGGUACCGGAAGAAUAAGCACCGGCUAACUACGUGCCAGCAGCCGCGGUAAUACGUAGGGUGCAAGCGUUAAUCGGAAUUACUGGGCGUAAAGCGCGCGCAGGCGGUUUGCUAAGACCGAUGUGAAAUCCCCGGGCUCAACCUGGGAACUGCAUUGGUGACUGGCAGGCUAGAGUAUGGCAGAGGGGGGUAGAAUUCCACGUNUAGCAGUGAAAUGCGUAGAGAUGUGGAGGAAUACCGAUGGCGAAGGCAGCCCCCUGGGCAAUACUGACGCUCAUGCACGAAAGCGUGGGGAGCAAACAGGAUUAGAUACCCUGGUAGUCCACGCCCUAAACGAUGUCAACUAGUUGUUGGGGAUUCAUUUCCUUAGUAACGUAGCUAACGCGUGAAGUUGACCGCCUGGGGAGUAC